rnacentral:tRNA from 1 species
GCGCAGACGGCGAGUGGCGCACUGGUCUGUAAAACCAGCACAUGGGAACCGCAGUAGGUUCGAAUCCUACCCUGCCCACCA